rnacentral:rRNA from 1 species
GGCUUAUUGAUAAUAAUUUUAGGUCUAUCUGCCCAAUGAUUUAAAUUUAAUGGCUGCAGUAUAACUAACUGUACAAAGGUAGCAUAAUCAAUUGUUUUUUAAUUGAAAACUGGGAUGAAAGAAUUAAUGAGAUAUAUUCUGUCUCAUAUAUAUGUUAUGAAAUUAAAUUUUUAGUAAGAAUGCUGAAAUUUAUUUAUGGGACGAUAAGACCCUAUAGAAUUUUAUAUUUAUUUUUAAAUUUUAUUUAAUUUUAGGAGUAAAUAUUUAGUUGGGAGGACUGAUAAAUUUAAAUAACUUUACUUUAAAUAUAUACUUUAAUUAAAGAAUAAUUUUUGAUCUUUUAUUAAAAAUUAGAAGAAAAAAUUACCUUAGGGAUAACAGCGUAAUAUCUUUUUAAAGGCCAAAUUAAUAAAGAUGAUUGCGACCUCGAUGUUGAAUUAAGAUAAAUUUUAAAUGAAGAAGUUUAAUAAUUAAGUCUGUUCGACUUUUAAAAUCUU